AGACGAACCGUACGAACGUUAUUCGGAAUCACUGGGCUUAAAGGGUGCGUAGGCGGCAUGGCAAGUUGGGUGUGAAAUCCCUCGGCUCAACCGAGGAAUGGCGCCCAAAACUGCCUUGCUUGAGGGAGAUAGAGGUGAGCGGAACUACGGGUGGAGCGGUGAAAUGCGUUGAUAUCCGUAGGAACACCGGUGGCGAAAGCGGCUCACUGGGUCUCUUCUGACGCUGAGGCACGAAAGCUAGGGUAGCGAACGGGAUUAGAAACCCCGGUAGUCC
rnacentral:rRNA from 1 species